AUACUUACCUGGACGGGGUCAAUGGGCGAUCAUGAAGACCCAUGGCCUAGGUUGGUGACUUUCAUUGCACUUUGAAGGGGCGCCCGCCUAAGGUCGGCCCAAGUGGUCGAGCCUACGUCAUAAUUUGUUGCUGUGGGGGCCUGCGUUCGCGCGGCCCCUGC
rnacentral:snRNA from 1 species